rnacentral:lncRNA from 1 species
CAUUAAUAGGUCUGUUCAUAAUUCAAUCUGUGUGUGUGUAGAAGCAUCCAUGUGGAAACAUGCAGGCCUGAGAGACAUAAAGCCUUUCCCUUUAAACAUUAUCUGACCCUAUGAGUCUUAUUCACAAAAGAAGGCUUACGUACGCAUAAGUUGAAAAAAAUGCAUGCUUUCAUUGUGCCAGAGAGAGCCUACACAUUUUACUCCUCAUUCUCCAGGAAAACUCAUCAUGGAAGUGACACUUGUACAGGAGCUGGGCGAGGGAAUGGUGAAAGAGCACAACGUAGCAAAGAAAUAACCCAGCACACGCAAAGAAUACACUUCUUUUCUCAUUAAAAAUAUGGAAGGGUCAUCUCUUCUGCUGGCAUGUGACAGGGUGAGGGCACGGAUGUGAGAGGAGCCACUGUUUCCCUGUGUGUUGCAGCCUUGCAAAACUCCACCUGAGGAGAGCAGCCUGUUUUUUUGAUGCCUGUGUCACUUGCACCUGGACCGGGUACAACACAGUGAAUAUAAAUAUUUAUAAUGCCAUGUCUACAAUUUCACAGAUUCCAAGGAUGAUGAUUGUACACUGCCUUCCAGAGAAUCCUGCAAGGUAUUCAAAGCCUACGGAUGCUGCUGUAAAUCGGCAGCAAACAGGAGUACCAGGACACCUGCCAGUCAGGAUCAGCAUGAGAGGAUCAGUUAUUGACUCCAAUGAAACCAGGAUUUUCAUCUACUGUCCCAAAGUUUAAAAACCAUUCAGAGAGUUCUUCUAAGUGUGGUAAAUGAAACCUCCAGAAAGGCAGAGGGGCUCUGUAUGUGCUCAGCUUGAUUGACACCAGUACACCCACUGGCCUUCAGCAAUUACAGCUCAAAAGGAAACCAGCACAACUGGGAGCAGAUGGGUAAGCUUUUAAGUAAAUAUAAAAGUUAAAGAUGAUUCCUGUUAGCACUGGAAAGCUUUCUUCCUGGCAUGAGCUAAGGGCUGACAAAAUUAUCUGUGU